CUCCAAUGGUUGUAGAGGUCUUCCCAUACAUCUGCCCACAUCCAGUGAUCCUUAUAGGACUUUCAGUCUGGUGGUGACUGGGAAUCAGAAUGCUUGAUUGCGGACUAUCAUAGGCUGUGUAGUCCAUCUCAAAACCUACGUGUAGCCACCUGCUUGAAGAUCGGAUGGCCAGCCUUCUCAUCCUGAGGAGAUAAGAAUCAGUAGUACCCCUGCAAAUAGAAGUAAGCAUGUAUUAAUAAAUAGAAUAUAAAUCUAUCAAAAAUUAUUAAAUUAAAUACUUUUGACUUAUUAGGAACAUCUUUCAAGUUGCAUCACGAGCCCCCGAC
rnacentral:lncRNA from 1 species